AGCUAGUUCAGCAUCUCUGGUUCCUCACUUUAUUGAUUAGCUUUUAAGAUGGAAAAGAUUCUUUAGGAUCCUACACCUAAAAAUCCAAUUGGCAUAAAUGUAAGACUCUUUACGAUCCUACAACGUAUAAAUCCAAUUGGCAUUCUAUACAAGUGAUCCUUACUUAGUGUAGUUAUUAGGAUUUUGCUGAGAUCUGGUGAAGCCACGUCACUCUUUUAAUACCAGCCGUUCGAUCAGCUGCUGCAAACGGUUCGAUCCGUUCCAUCCCUAAGCGCUGCCUCCCUCCACCGAGCGCACCAGAUUCUCCGCCGCCGCCGCCGGGCGCGUUCCUCUCACCGUGCGCGCGACUCCUCCCUUCCCCACCAGCCCGCGCGACGCGCUCGCAUCACGCAUCCCAGCCGCGCCGCUUCUCCUCCAACCCCCUCCCCCCGGCGCUUCUCCUCCACUCCCCCACUCCGGCGCUUCUCCUCCCCCUCCCCCUGCCCCUCUCCCUUCCCCAGGUGGCAGGCCUUCCCGUGCAGGUGCCCCAACUCGCCCCACCGCUGCCCCUCGGUCUUCUCACGACGCUUCCUCUCUUGCCUGUGGCCCUCCUGAUCUGCUCGCCUACCUUCCUCUCCCAUCGCUCCAUAAACCUGCUUGUGGGAAAACAUCCGCUUCAUUCGUCUCCAGUGCCGUCGGCCUCCCCCUCGACUCCAUUAAAAUGGAAUGGGCACCAUUAGAGGACCUCAUCGGUUGGCACGCGCAUACUACUGCCUAGACCCUAAGCACGCCAAAAAACGACCUGUUUCCCUCUGUUGUUGCUUUCUUUCUAUUCAUCAAUAUUUUGUAUACUAGGAGCCUCCAAUUAUGAUAGAACUAUAAGAUCAGAGAUAGAUAGCCUUCUACUGGGUCGUACUGCUACCACCUACAGGCUGCAGCAGAGGUUAUGCCUGGUUCCCAGCUUCCCUUCACAUUCCUGUCUAAAAUAGUUGCUACAUAAGGUACUUUGUCCUUCAAGAAAAUGUAAAAACCUUCCUGGUCAAAAAAAGAAAAUGUAAAAACCUUUUCUAUCUGAAAUACAUAUGAUUCAAUUCGCUUCAUAUUCAUCUAUGUUCACCUGAUUUCCAGAAAAUAAUAUAUAUGUUCAUCCCAGGGUACUAGCUUCGCAAGAAAUACAAGAAAUUUCUUCCACAACAGCACUUCCAGAUAUUUCCAGUGUAAACUAUCUUUGGCUAAAAUUUAAACUGUCAUUAGUUCAGUGUUGACAUUAAAAUUGAGGCACAUAUUGCGCCAUAUUAAUCCUCCUUUGCUAUAAGAUAUCCCUAAUUUGGAAACGGAUCCUCUGACUUUGGCUUGGAAAGUCACGGUGUUGCAGUUCGCUUCAUCCCUGCCGACCACUACAUCUAACGGCACACAUCCAUCUUCCCUCGUUUGCUUGCAUACUGUGCGAUCCAGUUCGGCCCAAAAUCACAGCACGGCCGGCGUGGAAAAAACAGGGGUGCAGCGGUAGGUAGUGGAGGGAAAAAGGCAGCCCUCGCUCAGUUUUAGUGCCAAAGUAUAGAACACUCUGGGUUUUGAUCCUUUCUUUCUGGGUUCUAAAAGAAAACGAAGUAAUGAAGUACAGGGAAAGCAAGAAGCAAUCAAUUGAAUAUCCAUCUUCCACCAUCGGUCAAUUUCUGCUUUGGUGAAGAAAUGGAAGAAGAGGCUCAAAGAGAGCACCACGAAUCCAACAGCAGUUCAGGUUCUGUUGAAAGUUGAAACUUUGCAUUCAUGCAUGUAGUAGCAGGCGACAGCAUACAACAAAGUUAUUGUGGCCAGAUGGGCGCCGAUGGCCGCUGCAUGCUGAACUGGGCCGCACAGCAUGCAAGCAAAGGAGGAAAGAUGGAUGUGUGCCAUUGGAUGCAGUGGUCGGCAGGGAUGAAGCGAACUGCAACACCGUGGCUUUCCAGCCAAAGUUAGAGGAUCCUUUUCCCCCUAAUUUGUAUUCAGGUCUAUAAGCUAUGGUUUUGUGAUUGAUGCUUUCCAGGUUUCUGUUCUUUCUGAUUGGACUACAGAGGAUGUUCUUCAUAAUGGUAGAAUAAAAUAAAUCAAUUGACAAAAGGGAGAUUCAUCAGGUUAGUGCAACUAUUUAUCUUGAGUUGUAUAGAUCUUUCAGUCCAAAAAUGCUACAAGUGAUUUUGUUUCUAUUGGCGCACGCUUAUCACCAAACAAACAACUGUCCAUUAAUAUUCUCAUGACAAAGAAACUAAAGAUGGGGAGUUUCUGGUGCUCUCUUCACAUAUUUAUACCAACAGAUAAGAAUUUAAAUAAAAUAGAUGAUUUUUUACUUUCCAGAUGACAAGACAUAGUUAUUUAGUUUUAAAAUCACUACACACUAGGCUAUGGUGCACGCAACAAAUUUCCUCAAAACAACUAUGCCAUCUUCUCGGCUUCAUUUUUUCUUCAUUCAGAUUUGUUCACAUUUAUUCUUUCAAAGUUUACAAAUUUUCAUUGAUGUUUCAUGCAUGUGUUUUACUACCAAAUAACUCCUCCAAAAGUAGUGUUUAAUUGUAAUAUAAUACUUAUAAUCUCCACAUGGCAAACAUUAUUAUACCUAUAAUCUCCACAAUUAACUCAAUCCACCAUUACCACUCAACUUAUAUAACUAUCAGGGACACCUCACUUGGUUUCUCCCAACAAUAGCUUAUCUUUCCCAUUCCUCCUAUACUCAACAGCACUAUACUCAUCCCCACACAUGGACCAUGAACAACCAGCCAACAGGUUUUCUCUAAUCCUCAAUUAGUAAUGUUAUUACCUUCAAUUCUGUGUUUAGGGGCCUCAAAUUAUCUUUUAUGACCUUUGCAUUAUUUUCACAUUUUUAUACUUCAUAGCAUAAACUACUAUUAUUUCCUGUCAUGAAUCUACCCAAACCUUUGUAUGGUGAUGUUCAUUUCUGUUUUGUCCAUAUUCCACAAGUGAAGGCAUGCAAUUGUUCAAAUGAAUUCUUCUACGAUGCCAACAGUUUCUAUAGCUGUCAGUCUGUCACGGGCAAAUCCACAGGCAGAGACCACAGCAAACCGAAGCUUCAAGACACUCAUGUUCCUACUCAUACAUGAAAAAUGGAUUACCUCACAUGCAGCUAAGUACAAUUGAAGAGGAGGUAAAAAAACAAAUUUGUGAUCAAACAUCACUUUUGUUGCUUCGGUUAAUAAAUUUCAUCGUAUGAAAAAUGUCAUUGUUUGCUGAAUAUAAUAAAACAGACAUUUCCUAUGUGCUGUCUAUUAUAUUUAUCUUAUAUCCCCUCAUGUAUCUCUCAGAAUCUAUUUACAAAA